rnacentral:lncRNA from 1 species
CGCAUCGCGGAUCUACCCGGGCGCCGCGCUCCGCGCCAGCCCCAGGGCUGAGCGAGCCCAGGAGCCCGACAGCCUUGCCGACUCCCAGAGGGACAGCGGGAAGGGACAAGGCACCUGCACCCGGGCUGGGACCCUCCAGUGACACCGUGGAUGGGCGACAGAGGAAAAGGAACAAGGGGAAAUGGAGCUGCAGGCUGRCACCGCCUUUCCCUGCC